rnacentral:tRNA from 1 species
GCCGGUGUAGCUCAGUCGGUAGAGCACUCGCCUUGUAAGCGAAAGGUCGCGGGUUCGACUCCCGCCGCCGGCC